GAGUUCUUGGCUUCGACUCAGAAAACAUAUGGUGCUGACCUGGCCAGUGUGGAUUUUCAGCAUGCCUCUGAAGAUGCAAGGAAGACCAUAAACCAGUGGGUCAAAGGACAGACAGAAGGGAAAAUUCCGGAACUGUUGGCUUCGGGCACGGUUGAUAACAUGACUAAACUUGUGCUAGUAAAUGCCAUCUAUUUCAAGGGAAACUGGCAGGAUAAAUUCAUGAAAGAAGCCACGACGGACGCACCAUUCAGACUGAAUAAGAAAAUUUCACUGCUGACCAUCCAUUCCUUUUCUUUAUCCGGCACAAUUCCUCAGGUAGCAUUCUGUUCUUGGGCAGAUUUUCUUCCCCUUAGAAGAAAGAGACUGUAGCAAUACAAAAAUCAAGCUUAGUGCUUUAUUACCUGAGUUUUUAAUAGAGCCAAUAUGUCUUAUAUCUUUACCAAUAAAAC
rnacentral:sRNA from 1 species